CUCUUUUUCUCUUGCUACUGCCACAUAAGAAGUGCCUUUCUCCUCCUGCCAUGAUUCUGAGGCCUCCCCAGCCAUGUGGAACUGUAAGUCCAAUUAAACCUCUUUUUCUUCCCAGUCUCGGGUAUCUCUUUGUAAGCAGCAUGAAAACACACUAAUAAAAUAAAUUGGUACAAGUAGAGUGGGGUGUUGCUGAAAAGAUACUCAAAAAUGUGGAAGCGACUUUGGAACUGGGUAAUAGGCAGAGGUUGGAACAGUUUGGAGGGCUCAGAAGAAGACAGAAAAAUGUGGAAAGUUUGGAACUCCCUAGAGACUUGUUGAAUGGCUUUGCCUAAAAUGCUGAUAGCAAUAUGGACAAUAAAGUCUAGGCUCAGGUGGUCUCAGAUGGAGAUGAGGAACUUUUUGGGAACUGGAGUAAAGGUAACUCUUUUUAUGUUUUAGCAUAGAGACUGGCAGCAUUUUGCCCCUGCCCUCCCUAGAGAUCUGUGGAACUUUGAACUUGAGAAAGAUGAUUUAGGGUAUCUGGUGGAAGAAAUUUCUAAGCAGCAAAGCAUUCAAGAAGUGACUUGGGCUCUGUUAAAGGCAUUCAGUUUUAUAAGGGAAGCAGAGCAUAAAAGUUUGGAAAAUUUGCAGCCUGACUAUGCAAUAGAAAGGGAAAACCCAUUUUCUGGGGAGAAAUUCAAGCCAGCUGCAGAAAUUUGCAUAAGUAGCAAGGACCCUUAUGUUAAUCUCCAAGAUCUUUGGGAAGAUGUCUUCAGGCCAUGUCAGAAACCUUCACAGCAGGGCCU
rnacentral:lncRNA from 1 species